CCUGACGACAAUAGAGUACUGGAACCACCUGACCCAUUCCGAACUCAGCAGUGAAACGGUGCAUCGCCGAUGGUAGUGUGGGGCUUCCCCAUGUGAGAGUAGGUCAUCGCCAGGC
rnacentral:rRNA from 2 species